AGGGUUUGAUCAUGGCUCCGAGUGAACGCUGGCGGCGUGCUUAAACACAUGCAAGUCGAACGAGAACGGAUUAUAGCUUGCUAUAAUUGUCAGCUAAGUGGCGCACGGGUGAGUAAUGUAUAGGUAAUAUGCCUCUUACUAAGGGAUAACAAUUGGAAACGAUUGCUAAUACCUUAUACUCCUUAUUAACCUAAGUGUUGGGUUAAGUCCCGCAACGAGCGCAACCCUCGUGUUUAGUUGCUAACAGUUCGGCUGAGCACUCUAAACAGACUGCCUACGCAAGUAGGAGGAAGGUGAGGACGACGUCAAGUCAUCAUGGCCCUUACGUCCAGGGCUACACACGUCGUACAAUGGGAUAUACAAAGAGCCGCAAUACGGUGACGUGGAGCAAAUCUUAUAAAAUAUCUCCCAGUUCGGAUUGUAGUCUGCAACUCGACUACAUGAAGUUGGAAUCGCUAGUAAUCGUAGAUCAGCUAUGCUACGGUGAAUACGUUCCCGGGUCUUGUACUCACCGCCCGUCACACCAUGGGAGUCGAACUCAUUCGAAGCGGGGAUGCUAAAAUAGCUACCUUCCACAGUGGAUUUGGCGACUGGGGUGAAGUCGUAACAAGGUAACCGUAGGAGAACCUGCGGUUGGAUCACCUCCUUUCU
rnacentral:rRNA from 1 species